GAUGACGCUGGCGGCAGGCUUAACACAUGCAAGUCGAGCGAGCGGCGGACGGGUGAGUAAUGUCUGGGAAACUGCCUGAUGGAGGGGGAUAACUACUGGAAACGGUAGCUAAUACCGCAUACCAUCAGAUGUGCCCAGAUGGGAUUAGCUAGUAGGUGGGUUAACGGCUCACCUAGGCGACGAUCCCUAGCUGGUCUGAGAGGAUGACCAGCGACACUGGAACGGAGACACGGUCCAGACUCCUACGGGAGGCAGCGGUGGGGAAUAUUGGACAAUGGGCGAAAGCCUGAUCCAGCCAGGCCGCGUGUGUGAAGAAGGUCUUCGGAUUGUAAAGCACUUUAAGUUGGGAGGCGUUACCAACAGAAUAAGCACCGGCUAACUUCGGGCCAGCAGCCGCGGUAAUAC
rnacentral:rRNA from 1 species